rnacentral:miRNA from 1 species
GAGAAGUGAGUGGGUGAGUGUGUGUGUGUGUGUGUGUGUGUGUGUGUGUGUGUGUGUCGCAGCACAUGCACGUCCCCA